rnacentral:rRNA from 1 species
UGGGGAAUUUUGGACAAUGGGCGAAAGCCUGAUCCAGCAAUGCCGCGUGUGUGAAGAAGGCCUUCGGGUUGUAAAGCACUUUUGUCCGGAAAGAAAUGGCUCUGGUUAAUACCUGGGGUCGAUGGCGGUACCGGAAGAAUAAGGACCGGCUAACUACGUGCCAGCAGCCGCGGUAAUACGUAGGGUCCAAGCGUUAAUCGGAAUUACUGGGCGUAAAGCGUGCGCAGGCGGUUGUGCAAGACCGAUGUGAAAUCCCCGAGCUUAACUUGGGAAUUGCAUUGGUGACUGCACGGCUAGAGUGUGUCAGAGGGGGGUAGAAUUCCACGUGUAGCAGUGAAAUGCGUAGAGAUGUGGAGGAAUACCGAUGGCGAAGGCAGCCCCCUGGGAUAACACUGACGCUCAUGCACGAAAGCGUGGGGAGCAAACAGG